AUCCAUUUAGCUCAGUGGUUUGAGCAUUGGUCUGUUAAACCCAGGGUUGUGAGUUCAAUCCUUGCAGAGGCCA
rfam:Pelodiscus sinensis unplaced genomic scaffold scaffold439, whole genome shotgun sequence.